rnacentral:rRNA from 1 species
UUCGGGCUGUCCGCCAGUGUAAAUAACUGGUGAAGAAAGGGCCGGGCAAGACCGGUGCCAGCCGCCGCGGUAAUACCGGCGGCUCGAGUGGUGGCCACUAUUACUGGGCUUAAAGCGUCCGUAGCUGGAUUGUUAAGUCUCUUGGGAAAUCCACCGGCUCAACCGAUGGGCGUUCAGGAGAAACUGGCAAUCUAGGGACCGGGAGAGGUGAGAGGUACUCCAGGGGUAGGAGUGAAAUCCUGUAAUCCUUGGGGGACCACCUGUGGCGAAGGCGUCUCACUAGAACGGCUCCGACAGUGAGGGACGAAAGCUGGGGGAGCAAACCGGAUUAGAUACCCGGGUAGUCCCAGCUGUAAACGAUGCGCGUUAGGUGUAUCGGUGACCACGAGUCAUCGAGGUGCCGAAGGGAAACCGUGAAACGU